GGGAGACUUAUGAUGAUUCAAAUGAAGCAAACUAAAAUGUAAUGAAGCAAGACAGAAGAAAAAGCAGUAUUCACUUGCGCACAUCCCAAAAGAAUAACAUUUCAAAUAUAACUAGAAAAAAGUAUGCUGAAGUUCGCAAUACAGAAAUAAUUAUUAAUACUCAAAAUAGCUUUAAAGCCCUGCUCAGAUUUUGAAUGUUGGGAAUUGACCUGGAGGUGGCUGUAACCUAAGAUGGUUCCUUCAGUAAUGAGCAUUUGUUCUUUUUCAAGAUGAUGAUUCUCCACCUUCUAAGAGACCAAAGACCAUUGAGACACCACAGCCACCAGUCCCGUAACCUGCCAAUGCUGGGCAACAGAAAGUGCGGGAGUUCAACUCUGUGUCAUGUUGAAGAUCUUUAUGUAGAAGGCCGUUCCAAAGGAACUCUUUUUGUGUGGUGGGGGAUGGGGUUUUCAUUCUUCUUGCUCAGGCUGGAGUUCAAUGGCGUUAUCUUGGCUCACUGCAACCUCUGCCUCUUGGGUUCGUGUGAUUCUCCUACCUCAGCCUCCCGAGUAGGUGGGAUUACAGGCGCCCACCAUCAUGCCAGCCUGAUUUUUGUAAUUUUAGUAGAGGCGGGGUUUCAGCAUGUUGGCCAGGCUGGUCUUGAACUCCUGACCUCAGAUGAUCCUCCUGCGUCAGCCUCCCAAAGUGCUGGGAUUACAGAUGUGAACCACCAUGCCCUGCCAGAAAUUUUUUUUAAGAAGACUGUCUACUAA
rnacentral:lncRNA from 10 species